GUAAGUAAAAGUCGUAACAAGGUUUCCGUAGGUGAACCUGCGGAAGGAUCAUUAUUGUAUAACCGAGGUGCGAGGGCUGUCGCUGACCCGAGAGUUCGUGCACGCCCGAGUGCCCUCACACGCAUCCAUCUCACCCCUAUGUGCACCACCGCGUGGGUCCCCCUUUGGCUUGUUCGGAGGGGGGCUUACGUUUUCACACAAACUUUGUAUGCAGUGUAGAAUGUAUUUUUUGUUUUUGCGAUCACGCAAUCAAUACAACUUUCAACAACGGAUCUCUUGGCUCUC
rnacentral:misc_RNA from 1 species